GGCGGCGUGCCUAAUACAUGCAAGUCGAGCGAAGUUUUUCUGGUGCUUGCACCGGAAAAACUUAGCGGCGAACGGGUGAGUAACACGUAAAGAACCUGCCUCAUAGACUGGGACAACUAUUGGAAACGAUAGCUAAUACCGGAUAACAGCAUUAACUGCAUGGUUGAUGUUUAAAAGUUGGUUUUGCUAACACUAUGAGAUGGCUUUGCGGUGCAUAGCUAGUUGGUGGGGUAAAGGCCUACCAAGGCGACGAUGCAUAGCCGACCUGAGAGGGUGAUCGGCCACACUGGGACUGAGACACGGCCCAGACUCCUACGGGAGGCAGCAGUAGGGAAUCUUCCGCAAUGGGCGAAAGCCUGACGGAGCAACGCCGCGUGAGUGAAGAAGGAUUUCGGUUCGUAAAGCUCUGUUGUUAGGGAAGAAUGAUUGUGUAGUAACUAUACACAGUAGAGACGGUACCUAAACCAGAAAGCC
rnacentral:rRNA from 1 species